rnacentral:rRNA from 1 species
UACGGAGGGGGCUAGCGUUGUUCGGAAUUACUGGGCGUAAAGCGCACGUAGGCGGCUUUGUAAGUUAGAGGUGAAAGCCCGGGGCUCAACCCCGGAAUAGCCUUUAAGACUGCAUCGCUUGAACACGGGAGAGGUGAGUGGAAUUCCGAGUGUAGAGGUGAAAUUCGUAGAUAUUCGGAAGAACACCAGUGGCGAAGGCGGCUCACUGGACCGUUGUUGACGCUGAGGUGCGAAAGCGUGGGGAGCAAACGGG